UUCCUAGAAGUGAAAUAAAUUGGAAGUCUACUAAAUUCGUACUUGGUCUGUAUAAGCACUAUAGGAAAGUGAACAAAAGUUUAACUUGAAUCAUAAAAACAGACAGUCAUGGCUCCUCAAUCAAUUCUCAGAACUGAGUCAGUUUAUAAAGCCCGAAUCCUUGAAGUGAAGGGAGGUGGGAUAACUUUGAGGAAGCACCCAGCUACACUGCCAAUAAUUCUUCCAGCCUUCCCCAACAGGGAUGUAAGCCUUUUAUCAUACGGGGUGACUGUGUAUCAGGGAAAAGAGAACAAUCAGGAUUUUCAGAGAUUACUGGACACUGACUCUGAAUGGAUACAAUUUCCAGGAGACAUCAAAUGCCAUGGUGAUUUAUCAGUCAGAGUAGGAGUUUAUGAAGGUGAUGUUUUGCCUCAUGUCCAUUUCAGAGUGGGGUUCAGUGAGUCUCCAAAACCAUCCUGCGGCUAUUUCCCUAGUUCCACAAUGCAUAAUUGACAUAGAUAUAAUCAACAACUGGCAAAAUCCACACGUCGCUUCCUUGACAUAUAAGGUGACAUCUUUUAUGGUGGGAAAGGCCAACUGAAAGCCACUAGAACUUCCUCUUCCUAAGAAGAUAGUAAAUCGAAAGCAAAAUCAGAGAGAUUAGUGCCACCAUCAGAAACUUGAAAAAUUCAGGAGUGGUGACUCUCACUGUAUCCCCAACCAACUUGCCUAAACAGAAAAUAGAUAGAUUUUGGAGAAUGACAGUGGAUUGCUCCAAGCUUAACACAGCAGUGACUCCAGUUGCAGCUACUGUACCAGAUAUGGUUUCAUUGCUUGAGAAAAUUAACACAUCCUCUGGUAUCUGAUAUGUAGCUAUUGAUUUGGCAAAUAAUUUUUUCUCCAUCUCUGUUAAUAAAAACCACCAGAGGCCGUUUGCUUUCAGUUGGAAAGGCCAGUAAUACACCUUUACUGUCCUACCUCAGAGUAUACCCAUUUCCCAGCCCUAGGCUGUUAAUUUGGUUUUCAGAGAACUUGAUUGCUUUUAUCUCCACAAGACAUCAUACUGGUCCAUUACAGUGAUGACAUUAUACUGAUUAGAACUAGUAAGUAAGUAGUAGUAACUACUCGAAACGUAUUGGUAAGACAUUUGCAUGUCAGAGGAUGAAAAAGAAAUCCAACAAAAAUUCAGGGGAAUUCUGCCUCAGUGAAAUUUCUAGGGAUCCAGUAGUAUGAGACAUGGAAAGAUAUUCUUUCUAAGAUGAGGAAUAAGUUGGGCAACAGGCCUCUCCUACAACCAGGAAAGAGGCACAAUGCCUAGUGAGCUGCUUUGGAUUUUGGAGGCAAUGUUUUCCUCACCUGAGUGUGCUUCUCUAGAUGACUUACCAAGUUAUCAAAAAGCUGUUAGAGUUGAGUGGGGCCCAGAACAGAAGAGGUGUCUGUAACAGGUCCACAGUGCAGUGCCAUCUGCUCUGCCACUUAGACCAUAUUAUCCAGCAUGUUCUUGGUGCAUAAAGUAUCAGUGGCAGAUAAAAAUUUUGUUUGAAGCAUUCAUCAGGCCCCUGUAAGUGAAUUACAGUGCAAACACUUCAGAUUUGGGAGCAAAAUCCUGCUAUCCUCUGUGGAUAACUACUCUCCUUUGGAGAAACAGCUUUUGGUUUGCUACUGGGCCUUAGUAGAGACUGAUUACUUAAACAUGGGCCAUCAAGUUACCAUUCAAUUUAUGCUGCCCUCAUGAAUGGGCCCACCAAGCCAUAAAGUUGAGUGUGCACAGUAGCACUCCAUCAUCGAAUGCAAGAAAUGUGUGAGAUUGGGCUCAAGGAGGUCCCAAAGGCAUAAGCUGCCUAAAGAAACGGACCAAAUGCUCAUGGUCCCCACUCCUGCUACACUGCCUUCUCUUUCUCAGCCUCUACCUAUGGCCUCAUAGGGAGUUCCCUGUGAUCAGCUGACACAGGAAGAGAACGCUGGAGCCUGGUUUUCAGAUGGUUCUGGAUGAUAUUCAGUACCACCUGAAAGGAGACAUAUGCAGCACUAAAGUCCCUUUCUGGAACAUCCAUGAAGGAUGAUUUAAAAAAAAAAAAAAAAUUCCAGUGAGCAGAAAUUUAAGCAGUGUGCCUGGUUAUUCAUUUUGCUUAGAAAGAGAAAUGGCAAGGUAUGUGAUUGUACAUGAAUUCAACGAUUCAGAUGGAUGGUUAAAAACUUGAAAGUAACAUAAUCAGAAAAUUGAUGACAGGGAGGUCUGGGGAAAGGAUAUGUGGAUAUACCUCUCUGAAUAGGAGAAAAACAUAAAAAUAUUUGUGUCCCAUGUGAAUGCUCGCUAAAGUAUGACCUCAGCAAAGGAGGAUUUUAAUAAUCAAGUGCAAUUAAGUAUGGUUUAAGGAUAUGUAUGUGGUUGCCAAGUUGACAAGGGUUAGACUCUGAUGGUUAAUUUUAUGUGUUAACUUAGGUUAUGAUGCCCAGUAGUUUGGUCAAAUGCCAGUCGGGAUGUUGAUAUAAAGGUAUCUUUAAAAUGUGGUUAACAUUUAAAUCAGUAGACUUUGAGUAAUCCAGAUCACCCUGCAUAAUAAGUGAUCGGCUUCAUCCAUCAGUUGGAGACCUUAAGAAUAAAGACCGAAGUCCUUCAAAGAGGAAGAAAUUCUGCCUCUGGACUGCCUUAGGACUCAAGACUGCAACAUCAACUCUUCCCUGGGUCUCCAUGCCACUGGCCUGCCCUGCAGAUUUUAGACUUGACAGUGAGUCCAAAUCUCAGAUUAUUUAUCAUGGAGAACAAAAUUAUGUGCUUUUGUACAAAAGAGAAGAAGAAACAAUAACGGGCGUAGGGAAACAAUAGGACCACAUAGAACUAAUGCCUACAUUGCUGUGAUCUGAGGAGUGACCAAAACCCCAAAGCCAAGAGGACUUCAAAGAUAACAACUUCAAAGCACCUGAGUUUUCAAACUGGAUAUAAUGUCUGGGGUGAUCUGGCAGAUUUUGAAAGGAUAACAUGCUGCCUGAGUUAUGAUAAGACUUCAUAAAGAUUUAUGUGUUUCUUGAAGUUUAUGAUUUGUAUAUUUCCUUCAUCUUUCCUUUCACUUGUUGUUAUAAAUUGCAGCUGUUAUUGUAUGCAUUUUUAAAGGAAUGUGUGUUAUAUAUUUUCCUGCUACAGGCUGUUUGGAUGCCUUCAAUCCAUGAAAUGUGUUCAGAUCUUGAAAAAUUAAUAACAGGAAGAGAUUCUUUAGAAAAUAGAAAAACAUUAAAUUAUAGCAUGUGGUGUUAGUAUCAUUGAGCACCAGGAAAUGACAGUUCAAUGUUAAAAAUCGCUAUAAGACUGAAUUUUAUUCUUAGUAUAAUACGUUUCUCUGACUGAAGUGGACCUGGGAAUUUAAAAAAAAAAAUGAGGGAAUUGAACAAACAUCCAGAAGUAAAUCUCUUAAAAUCAGAGAGGGGAAAAUCCCAAACAAGUGAACAUUGACAAAAAUAAAAUAAAAUUUAAAAAUUGCUAAAUUUCUUUGAGAAUUUGAUACAACCUCUAUGUCAUGAGUAAUGUCAUCAAAUGUAUCUUAUAGGUUAACCUAAGGCAAAUUGCUUAACUAAAUUUCUUUAAAUAUUAAAUAGUUUUGACUCAUGUUAAAAUAUCUACUUUUGAUGUAAAUAAAUGAUUCAAUUUAUUCUUGUUACAUACAAUGAAAGCCAGUACAUUUUGUUUUUGAAUCAGUAUAAAGUAUUAUGAAGCAAUCUUAAGCAUUUAGCACAAUUGUUAGUUUUCGAAAAGUUGUACUUGGAGUGAGAACAUGAAUGUAGAGAGCUGGAGAAGGAACUAGAAUUAUGUCUGCUACUUCUGACCUGGAUUAUCUUAUAUCCACAGUAUCACUAUGGGGUAAUGGGGAUAGAUAAAGUUGUUAUAAGAUUAUUUCCAUAAAAAAAUUAGAAUCCUUGAAAAAAAGCCAUUCCAAAAAGUGAAAUUCUUAGCAUUUGUAUACAAUUGUCCAUUCUUACUUACAAAAAAUAAAUUUAAUAUAAAAU